rnacentral:rRNA from 1 species
GCUUAACCUGGUUGAUCCUGCCAGUAGUCAUAUGCUUGUCUCAAAGAUUAAGCCAUGCAUGUCCAAGUACAAGCCUCAUUAAGGUGUAACCGCGAAUGGCUCAUUAAAUCACACCUAAUAUACUGGAUGGUAUCAGUUACUUGGAUAACUGCGGUAAUUCUGGAGCUAAUACAUGCGUCCAAGACCCGAACUUACGUGAGGGUCGCUUUUAUUAGAUCAAAACCAAACGACCUCGUGUCGUCCCCCUGGUGACUCUGAAUAACUUUGUGCUGAUCGCACAGCUUCACGCUGGCGACGUAUCUUGCUAAGGUGUGCCCUAUCAACUGUCGACUGUGGCAUAGACGCCCACAGUGGUUUUGACGGGUAACGGGGAAUCAGGGUUCGAUUCCGGAGAGGGAGCCUGAGAAACGGCUACCACUUCUAAGGAAGGCAGCGGGCACGCAAAUUACCCACUGGUCGCAGACCGAGGUAGUGACGAAAAAUAACGAUACCGGACUCAUCCGAGGCCCGGUAAUCGGAAUGAGUACACUUUAAAUCCUUUAACGAGGAACCAUUGGAGGGCAAGUCUGGUGCCAGCAGCCGCGGUAAUUCCAGCUCCAAUAGCGUAUAUUAAAGUUGUUGCGGUUAAAAAGCUCGUAGUUGGAUCUCGGCGGGUAGGGGACGGUUCGUUGUUUGACGCUACUGUCCCAUUCGCCCGUGAAUGGUGUGGCGGAGGUUCCAGGGUGCUCUUAAUCGAGUGUCCUGGGAUGCCGUCAGGUUUACUUUGAAAAAAUUAGAGUGCUCAAAGCAGGCUUUACACGCUUGAAUAUUCGUGCAUGGAAUAAUGGAAUAGGACGUCGUUUCUAUUUUGUUGGUUUUCGGAAAUCGACGUAAUGAUUAAUAGGGACAGUCGGGGGCAUUAGUAUUCAGACGACAGAGGUGAAAUUCUUGGACCGUCUGAAGACUAACUACUGCGAAAGCAUUUGCCAAGAAUGUUUUCAUUAAUCAAGAACGAAAGUUAGAGGUUCGAAGGCGAUCAGAUACCGCCUUAGUUCUAACCAUAAAUGAUGCCAGCUAGCGAUCCGCAGCUGUUUUUACAUUAGGCUCUGCGGGAAGCUUCCGGGAAACCAAAACGUUUGGGUUCCGGGGGAAGUAUGGUUGCAAAGCUGAAACUUAAAGGAAUUGACGGAAGGGCACCACCAGGAGUGGAGCCUGCGGCUUAAUUUGACUCAACACGGGAAAUCUCACAGGCCCGGACACUGGAAGGAUUGACAGAUUGAGAGCUCUUUCUCGAUUCGGUGGGUGGUGGUGCAUGGGCGUUCUUAGUUGGUGGAGUGAUUUGUCUGGUUAAUUCCGAUAACGAACGAGACUCUGUCCUGCUAAAUAGUUCCAGCGUCCUUUGUUGCGCUGGAA